rnacentral:siRNA from 1 species
CUAUGCGCUGCUCGGAGAGCAAAA